GCCGGAAGCCUUCACUUGUGGCACCUGCAGACUGUGGGUACACAGGCAGGCUUAUCAAAACCCCCAAAAUAGGGGAGAAUUCUGUCAUCUAUAUAGCUCCAGUACAAGAUGAGCUCGAUGUCACUCCCUUGCCACCAUCAUCAGAAGCAGUCCGAGAUAUGCCUAAAGCAAUGUGCAAAAAAUACUGUACCCACUUCAGAUCCUCACAAAUCACAGUAAGACUUGUUCUGAUGUUGUUGUGGUCGAAGAUGGAGAUGAAAGUCAGGAUGAAACUCUGCAUGAUCCACAAGAUGUGGAAAGUGAAAAAAAGAGCAAUGAACAGGCUUGCUGUCCUAUUUGUCAAGAAGAAAUGCCCCUUGACAUCUUGGAAGUUCAUGCCAGUGAAUGUGGGGAAAGAUCUAUGGAUGAUGAAAAUAACAACACAACUGAGUUGUCAUGUAUGGAUAAUGAAGUGAACGACACUGCUGAGUUUUUAUACGUGGAUAAUGGUACCGAUUGGAAAACCCAUCCGGAUCCAGAAGUAGCUAUGGCUUUGUACAGAAGGGAAAUUCUCAGACUGCAUGAGACAGGGAAACCUCUUUAAAUGUGUAUGGACUUGAGAACGUGUGCUGAAGAACAGGAAAGGCAACUGAUCAACUUCUACAAGCAAAGAAAUGUAGAGUGGGCCUGUCCUGUCAAAUGUCAACUUGAAGGGGAUGCUGCAGUUGGUGAUGGAGUCACCAGACACUUUUUUCUACAAUUCUUGAAAAACUGAAGUAUGGUUUCAGAUUGAACUUGGGAAACACAGGAGUUACUUGCCUCUUUGAGGGACAGC